GUCGAGGAACACAUCACGCCAAAAACAUCGGUUUUCGUCCGAUCACCGAAGUUGCGCAGCGUCGGGACCGGCUAGUAUUUGCAGGGGUGACCACCUGAUAGCAGCACCAGGUGUUGUCAGCU
rnacentral:rRNA from 1 species